rnacentral:rRNA from 1 species
CAGUAGCCGCGGUAACACGGAGGGUGCAAGCGUUAAUCGGAAUUACUGGGCGUAAAGCGCACGCAGGCGGUCUGUUAAGUCAGAUGUGAAAUCCCCGGGCUCAACCCGGGAACUGCAUUUGAAACUGGCAGGCUUGAGUCUUGUAGAGGGGGGUAGAAUUCCAGGUGUAGCGGUGAAAUGCGUAGAGAUCUGGAGGAAUACCGGUGGCGAAGGCAGCCAUCUGGCCUAAUACUGACGCUGAGGUACGAAAGCAUGGGGAGCAAACAGGAUUAGAUACCCCGGUAGUCCCUGUCUCUUAUAC